UAAUCGCAACCUCCCCUACAACUUUCUCCUUCUAUCUCUCUUUCCCUCUCUAUUAAUUUUCAGUUUCCCGUAGACAUAUGGUUCCUCUUUUCCUCUCUAGCAUCUAGAUCUGAAUUUAUACAAUCAUAGACACACUUUAAAGACCCUUCCGAUGCAAUGGCAGACUUCAAGGAAAAGCGAUGAUGUUAACUUCUUAAGCCAAGUUCGUUUAAGUCACGAGGGAGAUGGGCCGAAAGUGGCAAAGCAUUUAAUCGAGGUGUGUUUUGCACUAUUUAAGGUAUUGAUUUCUGAUGCCAAUAGGGAGCAUGGGACGAACAAAUGCAGUAAAGAAAAAGCUAGAAAAAUUUCUAGUUCAAAAUGUAAUCCAAAGAAUGCUCCUCCAGAAUCUCACGUUGAGAUGGAUUCCCGGUUAUUAACAGCUCUUUUAACAGGUGUGAAUAGAGCGUUUCCUUUUGUUUCUAGCGAUGAAUCUGACAAGAUUAUUGAAACCCAGACGCCAAUCUUAUUUCAGCUGGUUCAUUCUAGGAGCUUUAAUGUGGGAGUUCAAGCAUUAAUGCUUCUUGACAAGAUCUCUACCAGAAAUCAAAUUGUUAGUGAUAGAUUCUACCGAGCCUUAUAUUCAAAACUCUUGCUACCAGCUGCCAUGAACUCUUCAAAGAGGAAAUAUUUAUUGGGCUACUUCUAAGGGCGAUGAAAAAUGACAUCAAUCUAAGGAGGGUCGCUGCUUUCUCUAAGCGUUUGUUACAGGUUGAUGGUGGAUUGUAGUAAACCUGGCUAUGAAGCUCUUAGAAGCUACUUCGAUUAUGGACUUCGCCAAUUCAUGCAAACAUGAUACUCAUUAUAUAUCGCAGAGGGUCUAUCUUAACAUUUGUUAUCCCUGGCAAUUUUGGUUGUACAUAUUAAAGCCUAAUUAGGAUUUGAUUUGAGUAUCUUUGUGCUUUGUACUGUUGAUAGUAUUGGUUGUAAAAUAUUGUUGCUCGUUUUGUAUUUGUAAUGAUAAAUUAGUUUGUUAUUUCGUAUAAAA